rnacentral:misc_RNA from 1 species
UCAUUGCACACACACUAAUGUUGCAGUAAACCCGGCUCGCGCCGGGCCGUUUGGCGAAGUACCACAUUGUCCCUCUUAUUGUCCCGGUCGGGUCGGGUCGGGUCGGGCUCCUCCUUCGAACGGGCGAGGGGUCCGCCCGGCCCCCCCGGCGGGGAUGACCACGAUCUCAUUGAUUGCGCAAUGCAUCAACGCUCUGACCCAUGACUGAGUCCCUUAAACGAUUCGAGGAGUUGGGCUUCUGAUGACGACGGGCGGGGGACUUCCCCGCCCUUAGUUUUGAUGGAGACCCGCGCCCCCCGAGUAGUUGAAUCUAUAACUUAGAAACAACUCUCAGCAACGGAUAUCUUGGCUCUUGCAACGAUGAAGAACGCAGCGAAAUGCGAUACGUAGUGUGAAUUGCAGAAUUCCGCGAAUCAUCGAGUCUUUGAACGCAAGUUGCGCCCGAGGCUUGUCCGAGGGCAUUUCCGCUAGAGCGUCACCGCGCUCCCCCACCGGCCCCCCCCCUUCGGGUGGGAUGGGAUCGAGUGGAAGUGGCCGUCCCGAUCGGUUUCGAUCGGGUCGGCUGAAAUGGAUGGAAUUUGGCCGUCGUGGCGACGGAGCCCCGCGAUCAGGUGAUCCGAGCGAGAGCCCGGAACUCAAACGUGCGAGGCCCCCCCGUCCGCCCAGUCGGCGUUCCGGAACGAAAAGAGCAGGUCCGCGCGUCCGGUUCGGCUCCCCGAGCCGAGCCGAGCGCGCGUCAGAGGGUCACGCAUCAGA